rnacentral:misc_RNA from 1 species
AAAUUUCUUGAGCUGAAGCAUGUAAUACAUAAAAUAGAAACUUAAACCUCACCGAUCAUGUUCAUAAUGGAAAAUUUGUGAAGGGAAAAGACAGGAGAAAAAUCGCACAACAGUCAAUAAUACAUACCAAUUGCCACUACAGCAUUCACAAGCCUGCUUCUAAUUGGUUCAGGAUGCUGAUUAACUAUCUAAAUCAUAAACUUCUACCAAAAAGCAUAAGCAGUUCUAUUCUGAAGAACUACUGCUUGCUUUUCUGCAAGUAAAUAACCAGCCUUCUUCUAGUACACAACAAAUUAGACAUGAGUUGCUCCUCAUGUUCAAGAAAAUCAAAUUUUGUUUAAAUGAACUCAAUGAAAUGAGAUGCAUUAAAUUCAUUCCCUACAGGCAAAACAGAAUCCAUGGACAUCCACAGCUGAUUAAACAUCAAGCUACAUCCUCUUCUUCACAUCAACAACAAUUAGUCAUCCUUGAUUCUCUUUACAGAAUUUUUGUUUUCGCUCAUCAAUCAAUGUCAGAAAACUUCUUACAAUUCUUUGAUCCUGACAAUGAAGCCCCUUUAACAUUGCAACUAAAUUGCUCCUAUUGCUUUCGCGUCCUAAUUCUGGACAUGCGGUGGUUGAGCUUCCUCCCUCAAUGGCAUAUUGAUGUCCAUUGAUGCAAGGCCUUCUAACUCUUGGAUUGCUACAACUGCGCUAUUUGCUGUUUCACUGGUUACCUGAGGCUUUAGCACACCAACAGCUUGCUUCACUCUUGAUUGCUGCAAGUAACAAUUUUUUUUUUGCAAUAAAUGUAAGUUUUUCACAAAAUAAAGAUUUCCAAUUUUUUCAAAGUGCAAUGAAAUUAUUCGACUCACAAAAAAUUCAAAUUUCCUCUUAAGAUCUCCAUAAGCUUCUGCUUGCUGGUGAGAUGCAUUCUUCUUAGGUCGGCCAACAGGCCUUCCAGGGCGCUUGUUCGGCUUCACGACCCCACCAACCUUGGGUGGCCGGCCUGGUCUCUUUGUUGGCACAACGACAACACCACCGGCAGCAGCUAAAACCGGAGGUUUCUUCGGGCGACCUCUUGGCCUUGGCACAUUGAGAACUGCAGCACCGGUAGCAUAAGGAACAACAACAGACAUAGGGAGGCGUUUAGGAGCCUUCUUAACCCCAUUAGCAGCCACAGACUUAGGCUUCUUGGGUCUCCCUGGACUCUUCUUAGCUCCGAUCGACAUAAUCUUCGGCGGCCGCCCUCUCCUCUUAGCCACCAACGGCGUACCUUGUCCGGCCACCUUCUUAGGACGCCCAGGGCCCCUCUUAACCGCGUCAGCCUGAAGCUGAGCUGCAGAAGCAGCAGCAGCAUUGGGUGGAUAUUCAGCUAAAUUGGGCUGAAUGGAGGGAGCAGCAGCCACAUUGGACUGAAUGGAGGGAGGAGGAGCAGGCACAUUGGGCUGUAUGGAAAGAGAAAGACCGAGAGGAACCAUCACAGGCGAAUGAGUAUUAGCAGGAUAAUUGGGCUGCUCAAUGGGCUGCACAGCACCAGCAAUACUAUCAAUAAGAGAAAUGGAAAUGGAUUUGGGCUUAGGAGGCCUGCCGCGACCCCUCUUAGGCCCAGGGACAGAAGAGGCAGCAGAGCCGGCAACAGGAUUUGGCUCAGACUGAGAUUGAGAUUGAGUAUCAUUGGAGACAUCAGAUCUAGGAAGCAUGUAAGAUUUCUUCGCCAUCACAAGUAGGCCACUGCUCUUUAACCGCUUCAGGUGAUGAGUCAACAAGGCUGAGUGAGUCGGUGGCAGUCCCGUGUACGCUUUCUCUAUGUACUUAGCUAUAGCUCUCUUGCUCGACCCGUCUCGUUCCUUUAACGCCGUUAUCGCUGCAAAGAUCAUAUCAGCGUAUGAUGGGUGGUUGAAAGAUUGGGUCAGGGUGGGGGUGGCGUUGGCUGCAUGUGCUAUGUGAUUGUUGUUAGGAACUUCGACGCUAAGACCGGCGCCUGAACUUUUGGUUGCUGUCUCUGUAGUUAUGGUUGAGAAGUCGCCGGGCACGGUGGUGAAGGUGGCGGUGGGGAGCGGAGGAAACGUUGGUUGAGGUGGGGGUGGGUCCAUGAUGAGAUAGAAAGAGAGAAUUUUUCUUAUUUUUGUUUUUUGACAAGAAAAAAAAAAUCUGUUUCUAAAGACAGAUAGAAAAGAGUAGGAUAAAUUGCUAAAAUGUAUUGUUAGAGAGAGAAAAGAGGAGAGGGAGAGAGGAGAGAGUAGGUAAGUGGUAUAGUAAAUAGAAGGAAGUGGAAGGGAUAAUAUUGUCUUUUUGUGGUAAUGGUGGGUGGGGACCACUUCCUGUCUUUCUUUCCUUUAUUAAUAUAGUAAAGGUGAGGUGGGAGAGGGCGGUGCCGCUCACGAUACUCGCAAUGUUCAUUAAAUUUUCAACCUUGAUCUACAUUCGAAUACGGUUGAAAAGCGGCCGAGAUCUGACUUGCUGGUGGUGGCCGGUGGACCUCCGGAGGAUACAGCCUGGCGAUUUUAAUGCCCAUCGGACCCAAAAUGGAUGCUCCAUUUUUUCCUCUUUUUCCGUUAUGACGCAAUUGCCCAUUUGCGACGCUUGAAAUUACAGAGGACACCCUCCAGGCCACCGCCACUUAUUGAGGAGCAUCUACCAUACGAGAAGUUAUAGAAGUACGUAUAU